UACGUAGGGGGCAAGCGUUGUCCGGAUUUAUUGGGCGUAAAGAGCGUGUAGGCGGCCAGGUAGGUCCGUUGUGAAAACUCGAGGCUCAACCUCGAGACGUCGGCGGAAACCCUCUGGCUAGAGUCCGGAAGAGGAGAGUGGAAUUCCUGGUGUAGCGGUGAAAUGCGCAGAUAUCAGGAAGAACACCCGUGGCGAAGGCGGCUCACUGGCCCGGUACUGACGCUGAGGUGCGAAAGCGUGGGGAGCAAACAGG
rnacentral:rRNA from 1 species